CCAGCUUACCUUGCAAGGACUUGACGCUCCGUCUCGAGAACGCGAUGGCGUCGUCGAGCGCCGCUUCUUCGCCGGGGCAUGGCGAGGUGCGCUGCGUUGUAGAGGCUUAGCAGGCCCCUUGCGUCCGUGCUCAGGUUUUCUCUGAAACAACCCGUGCUAUCUUUGAACUUGUCGAAUACAUCUGCAUGAACAAAUUUCUAGCUGUAAGGGUGUACACACUAGUACUAUAUAUGCUCCAGGGAUUAUAUUUAUCCAAAUGAAUCAGAGAUGGGAGAGAUGUGUGUUCAAAUAACAAGCUUUAGAUCGAACCUUGUUUGAUCUUUGUCGUAUUUUAGAAUUCAUUUAGUGUUUUUUUCACCGUAUUUUUUUUCAACCUCAGUUUUUGGACUGUUAUAUACUGAAUUUAUUUCCAUUCUUUUGAUUUUGUGUCCCAAUUUAUACGCUCCUAGCUAUCAAUGAAAAUGUCUUCUAACUGAUUCGGCAAUUAUAUUCAUUCUAUAUCAAUAUGUACAUAUAUAUAACAAAAUAUUCUCCUACAAAACUGCAGAGAGAUUGAAUUAUACUCCGAGUUACCUGCAGAUACCAAGAAACCAUGCUGGCGAAGUAGACGAAACCUAAGGGAUUCAAGGUGGAGCAAGUCAGCAGCAGCAACGCUGUCGGCGUGCUCCUUAUGGUGCAAUAAUAAUACAUGCUGUAACGCUACGGUGAUCUCGUCGCGGAAGUGGUCGUCUAUGUGGAGGCGUUCGAGCACGUCCACUAGCAUCACCGUGUAGGCCAUACUCGUGGCCUUCGACAGCUUGCAGCGCACCUGCCUCUUUAGCUGAUCCACAUGUUCCCUCAUCCACUUCUCUGACAUCUGAAAACAUAUGCACGAGCAAUUAAAUCCAAGAGAGCCAUAGUUAAAGGGGAAUUACAUCCAUGCGUAAAGUCUCAUAUUCAAAUUCAUAUUAUACAGAGACAAAAAAACAAAAUUAUAUACUCUCAAAACUAUCAUAAUUUUUAUCAUGUUU
rnacentral:lncRNA from 1 species